rfam:Apaloderma vittatum contig702, whole genome shotgun sequence.
GGCUGGUUAGCUCAGUCAGUUGAGCGUGGUGCUAACGACGCUAAGGUUGCGGGUUCGACUCCCGUUCGGUCC